rnacentral:ncRNA from 1 species
AGCAGGGACGAAAGUCGGGACUAGUGAUCCGGCGGUGGCUUGUGGAAGCGCCGUCGCUCAACGGAUAAAAGGUACCCCGGGGAUAACAGGCUGAUCUUCCCCAAGAGUCCAUAUCGACGGGAUGGUUUGGCACCUCGAUGUCGGCUCGUCGCAUCCUGGGGCUGGAGUCGGUCCCAAGGGUUGGGCUGUUCGCCCAUUAAAGCGGUACGCGAGCUGGGUUUAGAACGUCGUGAGACAGUUCGGUCCCUAUCCGCUGUGCGCGUAGGAAUAUUGAGAAGGGCUGUCCCUAGUACGAGAGGACCGGGACGGACGAACCUCUGGUGUGCCAGUUGUCCUGCCAAGGGCAUGGCUGGUUGGCUACGUUCGGGAGGGAUAACCGCUGAAAGCAUCUAAGCGGGAAGCCUGCUUCAAGAUGAGUAUUCCCACCUCCUUGAGAGGGUAAGGCUCCCAGUAGACGACUGGGUUGAUAGGCCAGAUGUGGAAGCCCGGUAACGGGUGGAGCUGACUGGUACUAAUAGGCCGAGGGCUUGUCCUC